CCUGAGACAAAAGGAAGUUCCAAGUUCUGCUACUUCCUAAUUAGCUGACCUCAGGCAAGCCACCCUGGCGAGCCUUAGCUGUUCAUCUUUGAAAUGCGUCUGGACCUCGUGCUGAAAAGAGAGCGGGUAACUCCCAGGAACAGGGUUCCUCCAGUGAGUUCUGUGACAUCCCUGCAUCACUGUCACCCAGGGACCGUGGAGUAGACCCCACCCCAGGCCUACUGACCAGAAUUGCUGCCUGAUCUUUUGACCAGAAAGGAAUUAAGAAGAUGCCCGUUGUGAUGGCUGCGCCUGUCAGCUGUGGACCUUCAUUCGGGGAUUUUCUGAGCCGUGUGGAUUUACAGUGAUAUUCAGCCACCUGGGGAAUCAUGCUGGUGGAAGCAUUCUCUGGAAUUACACAUACCCGGCACAUUUCUGGAUGCUAAAGGUGGUUUUAAGGAAGGCUCUGGCUGCAUGCCUUGUGGAUUCCUGCAGCCUGGACGCCUGUGGGGGAC